GACGCCGCCGCUGACCCCUUUCGUGCAGGCGCGCACUUUCCCGAUGCUGCUCACAUCCCCCCGUCCUUUCUGAUCGCAUCAAACCUUAGUGCGCGCCGUUACACUGAUUUCGUUCCCGAAACAUUGUCCUGGCGUGGGAGCGUCGCCCUCAUUCAGAAGUGAACACCGCUUCGCUCCGACGAAGCUUUAUUCUAGAGGCAUGCAUUUCUUCUGAGAGAGUUCUCCGGGCGACGUUUUAUUUCACGGCUCCCCCGUCUGUGUGCCGGCGAGAAAAGAUGGUUUGACAAAAAGCGAGCUCUCGUGGGCCCAAGAAAGCCCUGGGAGUCGAUGGCAUGCCGAGUGGAGUGCGGGUCGCUGGGCCCGACGUUCACCAAGGAAGAGUGGGACGCGCUCCUGCGAAGUCCUGUCUUUGAGGAUCAAAUGCUGGCCGUCCAGCGCGCCCGCGAUCGGGCCGGCAGACGAGAUCUGUCAGUCCCGUCGUGGGAUUAGCCGGGUGCGCGUUUUAUCGCGCUUUGCUGGACCAAAUAAAAGUUUAUUCACUCA